GUUGCAGGCCGCCUUAUCGUUCCGCUUUUAGCGGAAAGGAAAGUCCGGACACCAUAGGGAAGCAUAAUGGCUAACAGCCAUCCUCCUUUUUUAGGAGCGGACUAGUGCAACAGAAAGGAUGUACAGGUAAUGCUGUAGUGAAAUCAGGUAAACUCUAUGCGGUGAAAUGCCACGUAAACCUACGCUUAAGAGUGCCCGCUCAAUGUAGGAGGGUAGGCAGAUAGAUUGUGCAAGUAAUUGUACAACCAGAUAAAUGAUAAGGGUUACACUAAGUGUAAUACAGAAUCCGGCUUAUAGGCCUGCUUUUUUU
rnacentral:RNase_P_RNA from 1 species